UAGAUUGAAGCCCGCUGGCUUGGGUUUUUAGUUGUUAACUAAAGGUUUAUGGGAUCGAGGCCCGUCGAUCUAG
rnacentral:tRNA from 1 species